CAGCAGCCGCGGUAAUACGAAGGGUGCAAGCGUUAAUCGGAAUUACUGGGCGUAAAGCGUGCGUAGGCGGUGAGUUAAGUCUGCUGUGAAAUCCCCGGGCUCAACCUGGGAAUGGCAGUGGAUACUGGCUCGCUAGAGUGUGUCAGAGGAUGGUGGAAUUCCCGGUGUAGCGGUGAAAUGCGUAAAGAUCGGGAGGAACAUCAGUGGCGAAGGCGGCCAUCUGGGACAACACUGACGCUGAGGCACGAAAGCGUGGGGAGCAAACAGGAUUAGAUACCCCCGUAGUCCCUGUCUCUUAUAC
rnacentral:rRNA from 1 species